rnacentral:lncRNA from 1 species
CCAUUUUAUUUUCUUGGAGAAUGAAGCACAUGGGACAAAAGAAUGCAACAUUUGAAUGGUUUAAUUGAAGAAAGAAAAUGGCAUUUUUGUUGGAGGGGUGCACCUCACGGCCCAUGUGGUCUUGUUAAUCCAUUUGCACUUUUAAUUUCAUUUGGUGGAUGAAUAUUGGUCACAUGAAUGUGUAGGAAAAAGCAUGUUUAAUUAUUCCUUUGUUUUGCAUUAAUUUUCAUAGUAGGAUUAGUUACUUUUUAGUUUCUCUAAUUUAGUUUUGCAUUUAAUGUAAUUUAACUGUGUUAGGUAGUGGUUUGUUGUCUUGUUGGGGUCUAGUAUUUUAUUUUAUUUUGUUUGAAUGUUGUCUAAGGUUUGUAAUAAUGUUAGUUUAAUUACCAUGCUAGCUUAACUUAGUUUGUUUGCAUCUGUGUCUUUAUUGACUUCUUUAAUUUUUGCAAAACCAUUUUCACAAACCCCCCCCC